rnacentral:rRNA from 1 species
GAACCCCCGAGGGAGCAAUCCCGCGUGGGGGAGGAGGGCUCUUGGGUUGUAAACCUCUUUUCUCAAGGAAUAAAUCUGACGGUACCUGAGGAAUCAGCAUCGGCUAACUCCGUGCCAGCAGCCGCGGUAAUACGGAGGAUGCAAGCGUUAUCCGGAAUGAUUGGGCGUAAAGCGUCCGCAGGUGGCCCUGAAAGUCUGCUGUUAAAGAGCAAAGCUUAACUUCGUAAAAGCAGUGGAAACUACCCAGCCACAUUGCGGUAGGGGUCGCGGGAAUUCCCGGUGAGCGGUGAACUGCUUCCAGAUCGGGAAGAACACCAGUGGCGAAGGCGCUGUACUGGCCGCAACUGACACUGACGACGA